GACGAACGCUGGCGGCGUGCCUAAUACAUGCAAGUUGAGCGAUGAAGAUUUGUGCUUGCACCCAUUUGAAGAGCAGCGAACGGGUGAGUAACGCGUGGGGAAUCUGCCUUUGAGCGGGGGACAACAUUUGGAAACGAAUGCUAAUACCGCAUAACAACUUUAAACAUAAGUUUUAAGUUUGAAAGAUGCAAUUGCCUCACUCAAAGAUGAUCCCGCGUUGUAUUAGCUAGUUGGUGAGGUAAAGGCUCACCAAGGCGAUGAUACAUAGCCGACCUGAGAGGGUGAUCGGCCACAUUGGGACUGAGACAAGGCCCAAACUCCUACGGGAGGCAGCAGUAGGUGAGCUUCGGCAAUGGACGAAAGUCUGACCGAGCAACGCCGCGGGAGUGAAGAAGGUUGUCGGAUCGUAAAACUCUGUUGGUAGAGAAGAACGUUGGUGAGAGUGGAAAGCUCAUCAAGUGACGGUAACUACCCAGAAAGGGACGGCUAACUACGUG
rnacentral:rRNA from 1 species